rnacentral:rRNA from 1 species
CAGCCGCGGUAAUACGUAGGGUGCAAGCGUUAAUCGGAAUUACUGGGCGUAAAGCGUGCGCAGGCGGUUUGUUAAGACAGAUGUGAAAUCCCCGGGCUCAACCUGGGAACUGCAUUUGUGACUGGCAAGCUAGAGUGUGGCAGAGGGGGGUGGAAUUCCGCGUGUAGCAGUGAAAUGCGUAGAUAUGCGGAGGAACACCGAUGGCGAAGGCAGCCCCCUGGGCCAACACUGACGCUCAUGCACGAAAGCGUGGGGAGCAAACAGGAUUAGAUACCCGUGUAGUCCCUGUCUCUUAUACACA